UACGUAGGGUGCGAGCGUUACUCGGAAUUACUGGGCGUAAAGCGUGCGCAGGCGGCCGCGCAAGUCGAGUGUGAAAGCCCCGAGCUUAACUUGGGAAUUGCGCUCGAAACUACGUGGCUGGAGUGUGGCAGAGGAAGGUGGAAUUCCAGGUGUAGCGGUGAAAUGCGUAGAGAUCUGGAGGAACACCGAUGGCGAAGGCAGCCUUCUGGGCCAACACUGACACUGAGGAGCGAAAGCCAGGGGAGCAAACGGG
rnacentral:rRNA from 1 species